GACCCCUUCGUCUAGAGGCCUAGGACACCGCCCUUUCACGGCGGUAACAGGGGUUCGAAUCCCCUAGGGGACGCCA
rnacentral:tRNA from 1 species